rnacentral:tRNA from 1 species
GCCACCGUGGUCUAGCGGUUAGAAUGUUGGCCUUGUAAUCCUGGGGUCUCGGGUUCGAUUCCCGGCGGUGCCC